rnacentral:rRNA from 1 species
GGUGAACCUGCGGAAGGAUCAUAGUAAUCGUCUUUGACGUUCGCUUUUUUCCGUUGUCCUCGGGACGUUAAUGUGCUCUGGUCGAGGAUAAAUGACCCCUCUGACCGAGGUCAAACCUGUCACUCUCUGUGUUACCUCUUAGGCACACGUUAAAGAUCGUUCCGCGUUGUGAGUCUAACACCAGUUGUAUAAACUUUUUACAACCGGUAGCGAUGGAUCCCUUGGCACGUCAUUCGAUGAAGACCGUUGCAAAUUGCGAUAAAGUGAUGUGAUGCGCAAGUCCACCACUUAUACGUGAAUCAUCGAGUUGUUGAACGCAUUGCACCGCGCCCUAAUCCGGCUGCGGUAUGCCCCUUUGAGCGUCAUUGUAUUCCUUCGGGAGUCCUUUUUACAAAGGACCCGAGUUUGGAGUCCUCGGUCCUUGGAUCGUGUUCUCUUAGAUGCGUCGCACCGAUCGCCUGAUGGGUCCUCUAAUGCCUGAGCGUGGAGUUCCUUCAGAGUCCGAGACGUGCUUGACCGGGUCUUGAGCCUGCGUCACCAAGUCCGCCUUAACAAGCGGUACUACAACGCAUGACCUCAUUGGGGUAGGACAACCCGCUAGACUUAAGCAUAUUAAUCAGCGGAGGAAAAGAAACUAACCAGG